rnacentral:rRNA from 1 species
CUCGUAGGCGGUUUGUCGCGUCUGCUGUGAAAUCCCGAGGCUCAACCUCGGGCCUGCAGUGGGUACGGGCAGACUGGAGUGCGGUAGGGGAGAAUGGAAUUCCUGGUGUAGCGGUGGAAUGCGCAGAUAUCAGGAGGAACACCGAUGGCGAAGGCAGUUCUCUGGGCCGUAACUGACGCUGAGGAGCGAAAGCGUGGGAGCGAACA